rnacentral:rRNA from 1 species
UACGUAGGGCGCGAGCGUUGUCCGGAAUUAUUGGGCGUAAAGAGCUCGUAGGCGGUUUGUCGCGUCGGUUGUGAAACCCAAGGCUCAACCUUGGGCCUGCAAUCGAUACGGGCAGACUAGAGUACUGCAGGGGAGACUGGAAUUCCUGGUGUAGCGGUGGAAUGCGCAGAUAUCAGGAGGAACACCGGUGGCGAAGGCGGGUCUCUGGGCAGUAACUGACGCUGAGGAGCGAAAGCGUGGGGAGCGAACAGG